rnacentral:pre_miRNA from 10 species
CCCUGCUGGGGCUAAAGUGCUGACAGUGCAGAUAGUGGUCCUCUCGUGCUACCGCACUGUGGGUACUUACUGCUCCAGCAGGG